rnacentral:misc_RNA from 1 species
GAUGAAGAACGCAGCGAAAUGCGAUAAGUAAUGUGAAUUGCAGAAUUCAGUGAAUCAUCGAAUCUUUGAACGCACAUUGCGCCCGCCAGUAUUCUGGCGGGCAUGCCUGUUCGAGCGUCAUUUCAACCAUCAAGCCCCCCGGCUUGUGUUGGGGACCUGCGGCUGCCGCAGGCCCUGAAAACCAGUGGCGGGCUCGCUAGUCACUCCGAGCGUAGUAAUACAUCUCGCUCAGGGCGUGCUGCGGGUUCCGGCCGUUAAAAGCCUUAUUUACCCAAGGUUGACCUCGGAUCAGGUAGGAAGACCCGCUGAACUUAAGCAUAUCAAUAAGCGGAGGA